CUGGCGGCCAUAUCACGUUGAAACACCGGUUCUCGUACUAUCACCAAAGUUAAGCAACGUCAAGCUUGGUCAGUAUCUAGAUAGGUGACCGUUUGGGAAUACCAAGUGCUAC